GGUUAAGCGACUAAGCGUACACGGUGGAUGCCCUGGCAGUCAGAGGCGAUGAAGGACGUGCUAAUCUGCGAUAAGCGUCGGUAAGGUGAUAUGAACCGUUAUAACCGGCGAUUUCCGAAUGGGGAAACCCAGUGUGAUUCGUCACACUAUCAUUAACUGAAUCCAUAGGUUAAUGAGGCGAACCGGGGGAACUGAAACAUCUAAGUACCCCGAGGAAAAGAAAUCAACCGAGAUUCCCCCAGUAGCGGCGAGCGAACGGGGAGCAGCCCAGAGCCUGAAUCAGUGUGUGUGUUAGUGGAAGCGUCUGGAAAGGCGCGCGAUACAGGGUGACAGCCCCGUACACAAAAAUGCACAUGCUGUGAGCUCGAUGAGUAGGGCGGGACACGUGGUAUCCUGUCUGAAUAUGGGGGGACCAUCCUCCAAGGCUAAAUACUCCUGACUGACCGAUAGUGAACCAGUACCGUGAGGGAAAGGCGAAAAGAACCCCGGCGAGGGGAGUGAAAAAGAACCUGAAACCGUGUACGUACAAGCAGUGGGAGCACAGAGCAAUCUGUGUGACUGCGUACCUUUUGUAUAAUGGGUCAGCGACUUAUAUUCUGUAGCAAGGUUAACCGAAUAGGGGAGCCGAAGGGAAACCGAGUCUUAACUGGGCGUUAAGUUGCAGGGUAUAGACCCGAAACCCGGUGAUCUAGCCAUGGGCAGGUUGAAGGUUGGGUAACACUAACUGGAGGACCGAACCGACUAAUGUUGAAAAAUUAGCGGAUGACUUGUGGCUGGGGGUGAAAGGCCAAUCAAACCGGGAGAUAGCUGGUUCUCCCCGAAAGCUAUUUAGGUAGCGCCUCGUGAAUUCAUCUCCGGGGGUAGAGCACUGUUUCGGCAAGGGGGUCAUCCCGACUUACCAACCCGAUGCAAACUGCGAAUACCGGAGAAUGUUAUCACGGGAGACACACGGCGGGUGCUAACGUCCGUCGUGAAGAGGGAAACAACCCAGACCGCCAGCUAAGGUCCCAAAGUCAUGGUUAAGUGGGAAACGAUGUGGGAAGGCCCAGACAGCCAGGAUGUUGGCUUAGAAGCAGCCAUCAUUUAAAGAAAGCGUAAUAGCUCACUGGUCGAGUCGGCCUGCGCGGAAGAUGUAACGGGGCUAAACCAUGCACCGAAGCUGCGGCAGCGACGCUGAUGCGUUGUUGGGUAGGGGAGCGUUCUGUAAGCCUGCGAAGGUGUGCUGUGAGGCAUGCUGGAGGUAUCAGAAGUGCGAAUGCUGACAUAAGUAACGAUAAAGCGGGUGAAAAGCCCGCUCGCCGGAAGACCAAGGGUUCCUGUCCAACGUUAAUCGGGGCAGGGUGAGUCGACCCCUAAGGCGAGGCCGAAAGGCGUAGUCGAUGGGAAACAGGUUAAUAUUCCUGUACUUGGUGUUACUGCGAAGGGGGGACGGAGAAGGCUAUGUUGGCCGGGCGACGGUUGUCCCGGUUUAAGCGUGUAGGCUGGUUUUCCAGGCAAAUCCGGAAAAUCAAGGCUGAGGCGUGAUGACGAGGCACUACGGUGCUGAAGCAACAAAUGCCCUGCUUCCAGGAAAAGCCUCUAAGCAUCAGGUAACAUCAAAUCGUACCCCAAACCGACACAGGUGGUCAGGUAGAGAAUACCAAGGCGCUUGAGAGAACUCGGGUGAAGGAACUAGGCAAAAUGGUGCCGUAACUUCGGGAGAAGGCACGCUGAUAUGUAGGUGAAGUCCCUCGCGGAUGGAGCUGAAAUCAGUCGAAGAUACCAGCUGGCUGCAACUGUUUAUUAAAAACACAGCACUGUGCAAACACGAAAGUGGACGUAUACGGUGUGACGCCUGCCCGGUGCCGGAAGGUUAAUUGAUGGGGUCAGCGCAAGCGAAGCUCUUGAUCGAAGCCCCGGUAAACGGCGGCCGUAACUAUAACGGUCCUAAGGUAGCGAAAUUCCUUGUCGGGUAAGUUCCGACCUGCACGAAUGGCGUAAUGAUGGCCAGGCUGUCUCCACCCGAGACUCAGUGAAAUUGAACUCGCUGUGAAGAUGCAGUGUACCCGCGGCAAGACGGAAAGACCCCGUGAACCUUUACUAUAGCUUGACACUGAACAUUGAGCCUUGAUGUGUAGGAUAGGUGGGAGGCUUAGAAGUGUGGACGCCAGUCUGCAUGGAGCCGACCUUGAAAUACCACCCUUUAAUGUUUGAUGUUCUAACGUUGACCCGUGAUCCGGGUUGCGGACAGUGUCUGGUGGGUAGUUUGACUGGGGCGGUCUCCUCCUAAAGAGUAACGGAGGAGCACGAAGGUUGGCUAAUCCUGGUCGGACAUCAGGAGGUUAGUGCAAUGGCAUAAGCCAGCUUGACUGCGAGCGUGACGGCGCGAGCAGGUGCGAAAGCAGGUCAUAGUGAUCCGGUGGUUCUGAAUGGAAGGGCCAUCGCUCAACGGAUAAAAGGUACUCCGGGGAUAACAGGCUGAUACCGCCCAAGAGUUCAUAUCGACGGCGGUGUUUGGCACCUCGAUGUCGGCUCAUCACAUCCUGGGGCUGAAGUAGGUCCCAAGGGUAUGGCUGUUCGCCAUUUAAAGUGGUACGCGAGCUGGGUUUAGAACGUCGUGAGACAGUUCGGUCCCUAUCUGCCGUGGGCGCUGGAGAACUGAGGGGGGCUGCUCCUAGUACGAGAGGACCGGAGUGGACGCAUCACUGGUGUUCGGGUUGUCAUGCCAAUGGCACUGCCCGGUAGCUAAAUGCGGAAGAGAUAAGUGCUGAAAGCAUCUAAGCACGAAACUUGCCCCGAGAUGAGUUCUCCCUGACUCCUUGAGAGUCCUGAAGGAACGUUGAAGACGACGACGUUGAUAGGCCGGAUGUGUAAGCGCAGCGAUGCGUUGAGCUAACCGGUACUAAUGAACCGUGAGGCUUAACCUU
rnacentral:rRNA from 1 species